rnacentral:rRNA from 1 species
GACGAACGCUGGCGGCGUGCUUAACACAUGCAAGUCGAACGGAAAGGCACUGCUUUUGUGGGGUGCUCGAGUGGCGAACGGGUGAGUAACACGUGAGUAACCUGCCCUUGACUUUGGGAUAACUUCAGGAAACUGGGGCUAAUACCGUAUAGCAUACCCUGCUGCAUGGUGGGGGUUGGAACGUUUCGGCGGUUGGGGAUGGACUCGCGGCUUAUCAGCUUGUUGGUGGGGUAGUGGCUUACCAAGGCUUUGACGGGUAGCCGGCCUGAGAGGGUGACCGGCCACAUGGGGACUGAGAUACGGACCAGACUCCUACGGGAGGCAGCAGUGGGGAAUAUUGCACAAUGGGCGGAAGCCUGAGGCAGCAACGCCGCGUGCGGGAUGACGGCCUUCGGGUUGUAAACCGCUUUCGCCUGUGACGAAGCGUGAGUGACGGUAAUGGGUAAAGAAGCACCGGCUAACUACGUG